GGGAGUCACAACCGGUGGUUGCACAAUCUAGAAGGAGAGAGAGAGAGUCAUGAGAGAGUGUGAAGAAUUACCGGCUUUGUACAAACCCAAAGAAUUGGGUGUGAUAGAAUCAGAGGGGCAAGAGGAGGAGGUGUUGCAUUGCUUGAUAUUUGGCCUGUUUGUGUGGAUCCCUGCUGACACAGCAGAGUGAUGCCAGGUGCCUGCUGAGACAGGAGGAGUGGCCAGUUUGAUGGACAUGAUCAGUUGAUGGAUAGCUGAUACCCCGUCAGGGGAGAUAAAAGACGGGUCUGCUGAGACACCGGCAGACACGCCACGAGACUCUGCAAGAGUGUUGUGCACCCACAGGAAGGUGGGGGUUUGGAGGACCGAAUCGGGAGAUCGGUCACAAAGCUCACAGUGUGACAACAGGACUGGUGGGGGCCUGUGUGGGUGUGUCCACUCAUGCCAGAGUGACGAGUCCACCAUAGAAGAACA